rnacentral:lncRNA from 1 species
UCGAAAUGUCUCAUCUGUGACUGAAUGUUGGGUAGUGGAUAUGUGGUUGAUCCACGUGCUCCCACAUGCCAGCGCGCACUGAUAAGUAUUCCAGUGUGGACUAGCUCGGCUGGUACAGGCUUGGCACACUGCAGCUCUCUGAAGUUACUGUAGUCACUAGGAGACAGUGGGCAUUCCAGUCGAGAGAAAGCAUAGCUUGUGUUGGUCACCUCCAAGAGCCCUCUAAAGCCACUGCUCUCUAAUAGUCCUGUGCUUCUGUCCUCUGCUGCUUUCCAUUGUUAGAGGGAACAUGGUGAGGACGGAAGGCUCGUGAAGCCAUUCAGAAAACCCAUGACUAUCCCCGAGGCCCUAGCGCAGGGCCCUGAAUUCUACCUUGGGAAAUGUUAGCGCUGCUAGGCCUGCUGGCACUACAGUGAGGUUGAGAGGACCCUCAGAUGAAGUCUGUCUUGCUGACAGUGAUGCAGAGGGACUUCCCCACUCCCAGAGCCUCCCUCCCAGAUUGUAGUCCCUGCCUGUCUGUCUGCCUGGCACAUGGGCAUGUGGACUGUGAACGUAUCUUGUUCACAGCUGCUUGGAGAAAUUCUGAUUUCUCCCUCUUAAUCUCUUUCUGUAAUGUGUACCUUUUAAUUUUAUGCCCUUUGCCUUUUGAUAACUGCAAAAGGAUACUAGAUGCCAGGCUAAUAAAAAUAGGGUCCCCUGUUGCUACAACUCUGAGGGCAGCCUGUUGAUGUCCUGGAGGCUUGUGCUGAAAUACCUACCCAGCUCUCCUCAUCUGCCCCUCCCUUAGUUUUGAGAGAGGUUCUGAUGGCCCAAAGUGGCCUCAAACUCUCCACACCCAAGACUGGCCUUGAACUCCCCUCCUGCUCCUGGUUCCUGUAGUGGGCAUGUGGGUAUGCACCACUGCAUAGGCUUGCCAGUAGCUGUGAAACACUUCAGUUUUCUUGCUGUACCUAGGUCUGCUGUCUGGGUGCCAUUUCUCUCCCUGGGUGAACUGUGGACUUCACAUUUUGUCCCUGAGGCCAGUUCAGUCUGUGACUCCCAAAGACCUGUGAGCUUGAAGACACCUGUGACCAUUUGCUAUUGCUUAAAUUGCUUCCAAAAUAUUCUGCCAGUUGUUCCAAAGUCAAGUCAUGGACAAUGGAAGGAUUUAUUUCCAGUUCUGCCCCUCAUUCCCCUCUGAAGUGGCCUCAGCUGAAUGACCAUGGGGGUGACCAAGCAACCAUACCUGAGUAAGUUUUACAGCCUCAGUCUGGUCUUUUCUUCCUCUGCAGAAUCGUCUGUGGCAGAUAGGUUUUGUGGGGGGUUUUGUUUUUGUUCUGUUUUUCUCCUUGCUUGCUUCCACUAUGACAGAAGAGAAGGCAAGAUUCCUGUUUCUUUUAAAACUUAAAAUAGAAAAAAAUUAACUAGAAUUUCCAACUGAUGAGUUAUUAUGAAAAUUGCUAAUGGUGCCAAGGCCAAGGAAAGAAUGUCGGGAGGUGACUGAGAAGGAGCAGUAGCCCCCAGAGCACAUAAUCAGAGGGGUCGCCUGGCGCUGAGCAGGGACUGCCACCUUACAGCUGGUUGGCUUCUCUGUUUGUCUCGGGGAGAACGCAGCAACAAAACAUGCAUCCACAAGAGAUGCAGUGCCCCUCCUGUACUGCACCUGAGUAGUUAAUAAUUUCCUGAAGAAAUCUAGUGUACUUUAAAUUUUUUCAUAAAGGUUUACAUUGUAUUGUAGGUUAACAUUAAACGUUUUAUAAC